CACGUGUAGCAGUGAAAUGCGUAGAGAUGUGGAGGAACACCAAUGGCGAAGGCAGCCCCCUGGGAUGACACUGACGCUCAUGUACGAAAGCGUGGGUAGCAAACAGGAUUAGAUACCCUGGUAGUCCACGCCCUAAACGAUGUCAACUGGUUGUUGGGGGAGUGAAAUCCCUUAGUAACGAAGCUAACGCGUGAAGUUGACCGCCUGGGGAGUACGGUCGCAAGAUUAAAACUCAAAGGAAUUGACGGGGACCCGCACAAGCGGUGGAUGAUGUGGAUUAAUUCGAUGCAACGCGAAAAACCUUACCUACCCUUGACAUGUCCAUGAACCCUGCAGAGAUGCGGGGGUGCCCGAAAGGGAAUGUGGAACACAGGUGCUGCAUGGCUGUCGUCAGCUCGUGUCGUGAGAUGUUGGGUUAAGUCCCGCAACGAGCGCAACCCUUAUCAUUAGUUGCUACGCAAGGGCACUCUAAUGAGACUGCCGGUGACAAACCGGAGGAAGGUGACGAUGACGUCAAGUCCUCAUGGCCCUUAUGGGUAGGGCUUCACACGUCAUACAAUGGUCGGUACAGAGGGUUGCCAAGCCGCGAGGUGGAGCCAAUCCCAGAAAGCCGAUCGUAGUCCGGAUUGUUCUCUGCAACUCGAGUAGCAUGAAGUCGGAAUCGCUAGUAAUCGCGGAUCAGCAUGUCGCGGUGAAUACGUUCCCGGGUCUUGUACACACCGCCCGUCACACCAUGGGAGUGGAAUGCUGGCAGAAGUAGGUAGCCUAACCGCAAGGGGGGCGCUUACCACGCGGGCGUUUCAUGACUGGGGUG
rnacentral:rRNA from 1 species